rnacentral:rRNA from 1 species
UACGUAGGCAGCAAGCGUUGUUCGGAAUUACUGGGCGUAAAGAGUGUGUAGGCGGUGCUCUAAGUUCGGUGUGAAAUCUCCCGGCUUAACUGGGAGGGUGCGCCGGAAACUGGAGUGCUCGAGCGGUGGGAGAGGAAAGCGGAAGUUCCUGGUGUAGCGGUGAAAUGCGUAGAUAUCAGGAGGAACACCUGCGGUGCUAGACGGCUUUCUGGACCAUUGCUGACGCUGGAGACACGAAAGCGUGGGUAGCAAACAGG